rnacentral:rRNA from 1 species
GUGGGGAAUAUUGCACAAUGGGCGAAAGCCUGAUGCAGCGACGCCGCGUGAGGGAUGACGGCCUUCGGGUUGUAAACCUCUUUCAGUAGGGAAGUAGCGAAAGUGACGGUACCUGCAGAAGAAGCGCCGGCUAACUACGUGCCAGCAGCCGCGGUAAUACGUAGGGCGCAAGCGUUGUCCGGAACUAUUGGGCGUAAAGAGCUCGUAGGUGGUUUGUCGCGUCUGGUGUGAAAACUCACGGCUCAACCGUGAGCUUGCAUCGGGUACGGGCAGACUAGAGGGCGGUAGGGGAGACUGGAAUUCCUGGUGUAGCGGUGGAAUGCGCAGAUAUCAGGAGGAACACCGAUGGCGAAGGCAGGUCUCUGGGCCGCAACUGACGCUGAGGAGCGAAAGCAUGGGGAGCGAACAGGAUUAGAAACCCCUGUAGUCC